UGGCUGAGUGGUAAAGCGCUUGGCUUCCGAACCUAGGGUUUCCGGGUUCGAAUCCUGG
rnacentral:tRNA from 1 species